CAGCAGCAGCCUGCGCCGAACCAACAACCUUCUCUUUCAAUGGUGGUGAUCCAAAUCAGUGUGGAGCAGAAUGCACCAUAGAGAUGUACAACUCUCCUGUUGAACACCUCAAGACUGAAGACUGCAAGGAAAGAACGCUAAUCUACACCGAGCAUCUGAAGAACAG